UACGUAGGGUGCGAGCGUUGUCCGGAAUUAUUGGGCGUAAAGGGCUCGUAGGCGAUUUGUCGCGUCGGGAGUGAAAACCUUGGGCUUAACUCAGGGCUUGCUUUCGAUACGGGCAGACUAGAGGUAUGCAGGGGAGAACGGAAUUCCUGGUGUAGCGGUGAAAUGCGCAGAUAUCAGGAGGAACACCGGUGGCGAAGGCGGUUCUCUGGGCAUGAUCUGACGCUGAGGAGCGAAAGUGUGGGGAGCAAACAGG
rnacentral:rRNA from 1 species